rnacentral:tRNA from 1 species
GCCGACUUAGCUCAAUUGGCAGAGCAACUGACUUGUAAUCAGUAGGUUGUUGGUUCGAUUCCGAUAGUCGGCACCA